AUGCUGAGGUCUGAUGACGAGUCACUACGGUGGCGAAGUAGCUCAUGCCCCGCUUCCAGGAAAAGCCUCUAAGCUCUAGAUUAUCACUAAUCGUACCCCAAACCGACACAGGUGGUCAGGUAGAGAAUACUCAGGCGCUUGAGAGAACUCGGGUGAAGGAACUAGGCAAAAUGGUGCCGUAACUUCGGGAGAAGGCACGCUGGCGCUAGGUGAAGUGGUUUACCCAUGGAGCUGAAGCCAGUCGCAGAUACCAGCUGGCUGCAACUGUUUAUUAAAAACACAGCACUGUGCAAACACGAAAGUGGACGUAUACGGUGUGACGCCUGCCCGGUGCUGGAAGGUUAAUUGAUGGGGUUAUCCGUAAGGAGAAGCUCUUGAUCGAAGCCCCAGUAAACGGCGGCCGUAACUAUAACGGUCCUAAGGUAGCGAAAUUCCUUGUCGGGUAAGUUCCGACCUGCACGAAUGGCGUAAUGAUGGCCAGGCUGUCUCCACCCGAGACUCAGUGAAAUUGAACUCGCUGUGAAGAUGCAGUGUACCCGCGGCAAGACGGAAAGACCCCGUGAACCUUUACUAUAGCUUGACACUGAACAUUGAGCCUUGAUGUGUAGGAUAGGUGGGAGGCUUUGAAGUGUGGACGCCAGUCUGCAUGGAGCCAACCUUGAAAUACCACCCUUUAAUGUUUGAUGUUCUAACGUUGCCCCGUUAUCCGGGGUGCGGACAGUGUCUGGUGGGUAGUUUGACUGGGGCGGUCUCCUCCCAAAGAGUAACGGAGGAGCACGAAGGUUGGCUAAGCAUGGUCGGACAUCAUGCGGUUAGUGCAAAGGCAUAAGCCAGCUUGACUGCGAGAGUGACGGCUCGAGCAGGUACGAAAGUAGGUCUUAGUGAUCCGGUGGUUCUGAAUGGAAGGGCCAUCGCUCAACGGAUAAAAGGUACUCCGGGGAUAACAGGCUGAUACCGCCCAAGAGUUCAUAUCGACGGCGGUGUUUGGCACCUCGAUGUCGGCUCAUCACAUCCUGGGGCUGAAGUAGGUCCCAAGGGUACGGCUGUUCGCCGUUUAAAGUGGUACGCGAGCUGGGUUUAGAACGUCGUGAGACAGUUCGGUCCCUAUCUGCCGUGGGCGUUGGAAGAUUGAAAGGGGCUGCUCCUAGUACGAGAGGACCGGAGUGGACGCACCACUGGUGUUCGGGUUGUCAUGCCAAUGGCAUUGCCCGGUAGCUAAGUGCGGAAGAGAUAACCGCUGAAAGCAUCUAAGCGGGAAACUUGCCUUGAGAUGAGUCUUCCCUGACCCUUUAAGGGUCCUAAAGGAACGUUUAAGACUAAGACGUUGAUAGGUUGGGUGUGUAAGCAUAGCGAUAUGUUGAGCUAACCAAUACUAAUGAACCGUGAGGCUUAACCUGACAACACCGAAGGUGUUUUAG
rnacentral:rRNA from 1 species